rnacentral:lncRNA from 10 species
GGAAGCCGCCGGGGCCGCCUAGAGAAGAGGCUGUGCUUCGGCGCUCCGGCUCCUCAGAGAGCCUCGGCUAGGUGUGGAAACAGGAAGAGAACUAGAACUGGAAGUAAAGCAUUGAAGAUGUGACUGAAUUGCUGCAAUCUCAUGAUCAAAUUUGAAUGGAUGAGGAGUUGCUUUUUAGGGAUGAGCAAAGAAAGUGGUUUCUCGAGAUGGAAUCUACUGGUGAAGUUGCUGUGAACAUUGUUAAAAUGCCAAUAAAGGAUUUAGGAAUUACAGAAACCUGGUUGAUAAAGCAGUGCCAGGGUGUGAGAGAGUUGACUUCAAUUUUGAAAUAAGUUCCACUGGCUGGGUGUGGUGGCUCACACCUGCAAUCCCAGUACUUUAGGAGGCCGAGACUGGUAGAUCAUUUGAGGUCAGGAGUUCAAGACCAGCCUUGCCAACAUGGUGAAACCCCACCUCUACCAAAUUAGCCAGGUGUGGUGCACACCUGUAGUCCCAGCUACUUGGGAAGCUGAGGCAGGAGAAUCUCUUGAACCAGGGAGGAGGAGGUUGCAGUAAGCCGAGAUGGCGCCCCUGCACUCCAGCCUGGGUGACAGAGUGAGACCUUGCGUUUAAAAAAAAAAAAAAAGGAAAAGGAAAAAAAAGUUCUACUGUGGGUAAAAUGCUAUCAUGCUAUCAAACAGCAUCACAUGCUACAGAGAAGUCUUGUGAAAGGAUGUCAGUGUGGCAAACUUCAUUGUCUUUUAAGAAAUUGCCACAGCUAUCGUAAUCUUCAACCACCACCACCCUGAUGAGUCAGUAGCCAUCGUUAACGUUGGCGUAAGACCCUCCACCAGCAAAAAGAUUGUUAGCAUUUUUUUAGCAGUGAUGUAUUUAUCAAUUAUACAUAAUGCUAUUGUACACUUCUUAAUAGACUAUGGUAUAGUGUAACCAUAAUUUAUGCACUGGGAAACCAACAAAUUCAUGAGAUUCGCUUUAUUGUAGUGCUCUGGAAUUGAGCCUGCCGUGUUUCUGAGGUAUACCUGUGUAUUUAGUAUGUUCCUUGUAUAUAAAACCCCAUUUUAUAGGGUAGGAAACUAAGGCUUAGAGUUUGAGCAAUUUUCCCAUAGAUAACACCAAUAAAUUGAGGGCUGCAGAGACCACUUAAGUGGUUCUCUUAACAGUAGUCUAGACAUGACGUAAUGAGAUUUGGCUUAGGAGUGACAAUGGUAAGGAAGUUAAAGGAUUCAGGAACCAAAUACCAGUUAUUGAGAAGAAAGAAUGGCCUCAAAACAUCACUUCUCAAGGAAGCCUUGAUACCCUCACCCUUACUACACUGUAUCCUCCAUUUGAAUGUUGUCAAGAGCUCUUCUCACAAUUGUAAAUAAUAAUUGUGUAAUUUUGUUUUUUUUUUCCUACUUUAGGUUGCUCCUUGAGGGCAGGACAGUUCUUAUGGCUUUAUCCGUUGCGUAAGCACAGAGAGGUCUGCGAGGUCAAAACUAUUGUCAUGAUAGCAAGAUGCCUGUCUUUUUCAUUUAUUCUCACGGUGUGCAGAGGCUACAUGAUGUGUGAUGACAUCCUCAUUGAUGUUAAUGAAUGGUGCUAUACUUGAAUUUUCUAAGGUGUCAUUAGGUAGGUUUAGGUAUGCAUACUUGUUUUUAGAAAUUAUUUUUUUCCUUUUUCCCAUUUUUAGAAAUCAACUCAUUUUUUAGGUUAUGCCUUCAGUAAUCUUUGCAACCUCAAUAUUGUGUAAUGGUUACUUUAAAAUACUGUAGUUUUCUUUGUGCCUAAGUAUAAACAUAAGUACAUUUUGUUGUUUUGUUUGCAAUAGUGGUUUAAAUAUUUUCCCAAAAUAUCCAAAUUUAAAAAUUCUACAACUUUAGAAUUUAAUAAAUUUAUUCUAAAAUAUUUAUAUAUUUUUUCAUUUAAGAAUGGAUCGGCUUAAAAAGACUGCUUCUCAUUUACUUACUGGCUAUACCAUCUGUAUACUAAUAAAAAACAAGAUUUGAUUUGGAAGGACUGACUCAAACUAACGAAAAUAUGAAACCUGUCUUUCUGCUUUGGAGAUAUUUACCUAAUCAUGUUCUGCAGUAGAAUAAUUUAGUUCUUUUGUCUUUUUUUGGAGAUGAGGUCUUGCUGUGUUGCCCAGGCUAUUCACAGCUGCCAUCAUAGUGAACUACAGCCUGAAACUCCUGGGUUCAAGAGAUCCUUCUGCCUCAGCCUCCUGAGUAGCUGGAACUAUAGGCAUGCGCCACCAAGCCUGGGCUUUUAAAAAAAUUUUAAAAAGAAUUUUGAGACAGGAUCUUGCCAUGUUGCUCAGGCUAGUCUUCAACUCCUAGCCCUGAGUGAUCUUGCUUUGGGCCUCUCAAAAUGUUGAGUUAAUAGGCGUGAGCCACCAUACCCAGCCAAAAAUUUUUUUAGAGAUGGGAAUGGAAUGAUCUUGAAUAGUGUUGGUGCCACCUAUGUUGUGGCAUCAUUUUGAAACCAAUCAUUCAGAGUGCUUUUUUUGGUAAGGCAUUAUUUUUUAAUGCAGGUAUGCCACUACUGGGAAAAAAAAAAAAACAGGUUUUAAAGCUAGAAAUGAAAAGCUACUUAAGUAUCUUAAAGGAUAAGUUACUUUAUUAUACACUAGAAACAUACACAAUAGCUGAAAAACUUAAAAAAUCUCACACUGCUGAAUGUCUCUGCUGGCUGAAGUGUAAGUAAAAGAUCAUAGUAGUGCCGCUGUUGAGUGAUAAAGCAACUUGUCAUUAAAGAUGUGUGUGCAGACAUGGAUUCUGAGUUAAUAUCUCAUCUGUAGAAGUAUAUAUUUGUCCCUUGCUUUGGGAUUGGUUUCUGGACAGCACUCCCCCACCCUUGCUGGCCAUUUGCCAAGGACACCAAAACCCAAGGAUGUUGAAUUCCCUUUUAUAAAAUGGCGCUGUAUCUGCAUACAACUUACACACAUCCUCCCAUAUACUUUAAAUCAUUUCCAGAUUUCUUAUACUUCAUACAAUGUGAAUGCUAUAUAAAUAGUUGUUACAUUGUGUACUUAUAUUUGUACUAUUGUAUUAAAUAUUCUCAAAUAUU